CUGAGAUUCUCCCAUUAUUGGAAGCAUCCCCUUCACUCUUUCUAGGCCUUUCAAUAUUUAAUAGGUUUCAAUGAGGUCCCUGCUCAUUCUUCUAAAAAGUCAUAACCAUACACUUCCCUACACUGUAUUACACCUGCCAUUUCUUCCCCAUUAUCCUAAUCCGUCCAAGCCCUUUUGCAGAUUCCCUGCUUCCUCAACACUACCUGACCCUCCUCCUAUCUUUGUAUCGCCUGCAAACUUGGCCAGAAAGACAUCAAGUCUGUCAUCCGGCAGAAAUGUGAAAAGGCAGGGUGGGGUGGGGGGAGUUGGGAUCAUGUGCAGGCAGGUGGGAUUUGUUAGAUUCUUGUCAUGCUAAGUGUACACAUGAUGGACAUGGAGGUUUUUUUCUGUGCUGUACUGUUCUAUGUUCUAUGUUACCAGGGUCUUUAGAAGACAGUUACACCAUGUAUGUGAAGAGAAAUUAUUUGCUCUUUGUGGGUUAAAGCUGAGCCAUGGGGUUUAAAUGAGAUCGCUCUCUGAAAGGGCUGCCAUGACCACAAUGGGCUGAAUUACUCCUGUGUUGAAAGGCUUCAUGAUUCAACUGCCUGUCAGCAAGUCUUAUCUGAUGUCAGGACUCCAGUGAGACUGCAUAGCUUCGUUCACUGCUGGCCCUGUUCCCCAACUCCAACAGAGUUAAAGGUGAUGUGAACAUCGGGAUGAGUGGCAGAAGUUUAACAAUGAAUAUCGUGGCUCUCAGCCAAGUGUAACUGCUGAGGAAUCAAACUGGGGCACCUCCUGAUCUGAUCUCUGGUCACCCUGGGUGGAAGCUGCUUCAAAGAAUAGUGGAAGAGUGGCUUUGACUGGGCAGGAACUAAGAAGAAGCAGAUCUCUGGGGUAGUGUUCAUGAGAAAGCUCCCUGCUGCAGCAGCCUUUGAGGCAGAGUUUGCAUCAGUCAACAUCUGAAAAAGCUUUGUCACAGUGAGUUUACUCUUCAUAUUUAUUUUUUAAUGGUUGCUUGAAUAAGUUGCAUGGCUGCUAGACUGAAAACUGAUGCUUUCUGAUAUUAGAUAUGCUUAUAAAGAUAAAGGAAAUCUUGUCAUGUAGAACGGAAACUUAGUGACUGAGCUCAUUGUAUACA